UCAAGGGAAUCGCAUAAAAUCUGGGGACCUUCUGAGAACUUGCAUUUUUUUCACUUCUCUCUUUCCUUUUUUUUUUUUUUUUUUUAAUAGCUUUGUAUACUUGUGAGCCUGUAAGCAUAAACAUUUUAAGUGUGGAGGACGAGCCUCUAAAGGAAGACUUGAGGGACUUCCAGCAAAAUAGCAGAAAAUCCUCACUCGCAGGAGCUAUUUAAAGUCUCUGGCCUUGCAUUGAAACUGCGGAUUUGGCAGGAGCAGGUUUCAGCUGGAUUUUCUGGGCAGGCAACUUUACCCUCGUUCAUCACCCUGGACCAAGUUGGAAGACAGCUAACUUAUGCAGGACGAGUUCCCAGAUGUCAUUAAGAGAAUCACUGGGGAGAAAGAAUAUCUUCCUA
rnacentral:lncRNA from 1 species